rnacentral:rRNA from 1 species
UACGUAGGGUGCGAGCGUUAAUCGGAAUUACUGGGCGUAAAGCGUGCGUAGGCGGUUUCAUAAGCUUGAUGUGAAAGCCCCGGGCUCAACCUGGGAAUGGCAUUGAGGACUGUGGAGCUAGAGUGCGGCAGAGGGAGGUGGAAUUCCACGUGUAGCAGUGAAAUGCGUAGAGAUGUGGAGGAACACCGAUGGCGAAGGCAGCCUCCUGGGCCGACACUGACGCUGAGGGCACGAAAGCGUGGGGAGCAAGCAGG